GCAAUGGCAACGCUGGGAAACAAUUUGCUAAAUAUUUGAUAUUGGUCAACUGUCUCCAGAAUCUCACCUGGAGCUGGGUGGCUCUGUGUUGGGAGGAGGGCUUGGUUUGUGCCUUCCAGCCUGGCAGAACGGGGCUGGGCUGGAGAGCCUCUGAAGGGAGGAGGGGGUCUCUUGUGUUUCUAGGGUGCUAUGCCUCUAAUGAUCCUUGCUUGGGUUAAAAGAGGAGGAGGAGGAGGAGGAGGAGGAGGAGGAGGAGACCAGAAGUGCAAGUUGCAGCAAGGCUGAUGGGUAAAAGAGGGAGAAGAGGGAGGAGGAGGAGGAGGAGGAAGAGAGAGUGCGUGGGGGAGAAAAAGGGAGAAGGAGAGAGAGGGGGAUCUGGAGCAAAGUGUGUGUGUGUGCAGGAGGAAAAGGGGGUCCUACGCCCACCCGCCCAGGACUUCUAAGGGACAAAAAGAAAGAAAAAAAGUUCAUGGGACAACUGAAAUGGUUGCCAUGAUGGGAACAGCUACAAUAUUAUGAAUCACAGAUUCCUUCCCUAUCAAGAACAUUCAGUGAGGCAUGGCAACGGUAUAUGACAUGUGAGUCCAAGUGCCUUUUCUUACACACAUAUAUAGGCAUGCACAAUCCAUAA
rnacentral:lncRNA from 11 species